rnacentral:rRNA from 1 species
ACGUGCCAGCAGCCGCGGUAAUACGAAGGGUGCGAGCGUUAAUCGGAAUUACUGGGCGUAAAGCGUGCGCAGGCGGUUUGUUAAGACUGGUGUGAAAUCCCCGGGCUCAACCUGGGAACGGCGUUGGAGACUGGCAGGCUAGAGUGUGGCAGAGGGUGGUGGAAUUCCCGGUGUAGCGGUGAAAUGCGUAAAGAUCGGGAGGAACACCGAUGGCGAAGGCGGCCCCCUGGGCCUGUACUGACGCUGAUGCACGAAAGCGUGGGGAGCAAAC